ensembl:lncRNA
CUGAGAGCAACAUUUAAAGAAAAUCUUCAGCUGUGUUGGAAAAAAAAAAAAAAAAAAAAAAAAACAAAACCCUAAGCCUGUGGAGUGAUUUAAGAUUUACCUUUCCAGUACAGCUAUUUAUUUGUCUGUUAGCAGAACAAUGCAAUUGCUGUGGAUUAUACAGGGACAGAAAGGAAAGGGGCCCUUCUCGAUGCUGAAGACUGCUGAAAGGCAGAAUGAAUGUCAGCAAGUGAAUUAAAACAGAGACUUGUGUGGGCCAAGGGAAGAUUUAUGGGAGAAGGCAACACAACCCUUCCCUGUGAUGUUUGAGCUCUUCCCAAAAACACUUUUUCUUGGAAUCUGAGAAGCUGGAAAGUGUUAGAAAAGGUGGAUUCAGUACAUGAGUGGCACGGCUACACAAUUGCUCGACCUGAAUGGUUUCCUUGUAUAGAUCAAAUUGCAGCUAAGAAUUCGGCAUGGCUUUUUUGUGCUUAUGUUGAGGAAGGAAAGCAGUUAUCAGUCAUAUGCCUUCACUAAAAUAUGCUAUCAGAAAAACAAAAUACUUACGUUUUCAACUUUGCCAUCCCCACUGGAGGAAAAAUGUGUUAUCUUCUAACAACAUGAUCUUGUUAAGCACAGUUAUUUAGAUGUUUAGCUGAAGACAAAACAAAGAAAACCUGAACAAAUUGUCUUGAAGCCCAUACUCUCAAGGUGAACUGAAAGAAAAAACAUUGUGACUUUGUCAAAGCAAAGUUCCAUGUUGCUUUUGAGUGGAGUUAGUAAAUGGAGUUCCUAUUUGCAGCAGCUCAUCUCUCAACUUCAGAAAAAGAAAUACUCUGUGACGUAGUGAACAUUUUGAUCUCUGAAAAACUUCUUCAAAUUUAAGAAAAUAAGAGUAACCUCUAUAGAUUUUUAAAAUACAGCCUGGAUAAAAAGAAAUGAACAUGGAGUUGAAUUUAAUUUCUGAUCUCUGUCCAGCCAAUCUCAACAUUUUAACCUUACCUCUGUAGUUAAGACAUCUGAAGAAAAACCUCUAAUGGAAGCUCCGAGGUGGUGACUCUGCGUUAGCUCUUUGUGUGCCCUUUCAGUCAUCUUGGUCACUCAGCUCAACUGAUGGCAGAAUAUUAUUUAGAGUAAAGUUUCAACGCAGCUUUCCACAUUUGCCUCUUCCAUUUCCUUUGCGAUAUCUACAAGUCUGGCAUAUUUCUGUCUGUGAAUUCUCCUCAGGACCAACUAUCUUAUUCUUCAAAGGAAACAAAACAAAAACAAAAAACAAAAAACAAAAACAACUUCAUCAAGCUAAGUUUCUAAUUUUCAUGUGCAUUCUCUGGGCACACCUCAGUCUCAGUGGGUAUAGAGUGCCAUACCUUCUAGCACACGCUUCCUCAGUGUUACGUGGCUGCAAACAUUAUUUGCAGAUUCUUCAGCAUUUGUUUCCAUAACUAAUUGCUUUCCAGGCUUUCCUGGUCAUUACUAAUCAAGAAUACCCAGAAAUGAGAGAAGGCAAAAACAGAUUCAUGAUUUGCCAGAGUUGUCACUAGGAGCUCAGCAUGGGGCAGGAUGGAUUUUCUGCAUUCAGGACAUUUAUCUGAGGUUGGACUUACUCCACAUGCAUGAAUAUCAACACCCUACUUGAACAUGAUGCUCUUUUACAAACCUGGAGAAAACAAGCAAGCAAACAAAAAACCCCCACAACCAUAAGGAAAAAAACACACACUGUCAAUCCAUAUCCUCUCAAGAAACAGCAUCCUAAAUCCUAAAUAACCAAAAAGCAUAGACUAUGUCUUCCAUGUGAACUUGGUAGGAUGUAAGAAUGCAUGCAGACACCGACCACUGCUUCUGGAGACAGCUCAUCCUCGGGAACUUGGGGCACCUGCAGGUUUACAAAGCACCUGUGCAGGGAAUGUGCAAUAGGCCAUAGCCUGGUGUGGCCAUGGGAAGCUCUGCGAAAGGAGACCUGCAGGUCCGUGGAGCCCUGCUCCAAGAUGGUUGUGAAUGCCAACAGUAAGAGAGAGGCACUUCAAGAUGGACUCAUUAUCCCUGUUGCUUGUUUUGCUCAAGUCUUGCUGAGCUGUGAAAACAGACCAAGUGAUCAUCUUUAUGCUUUUGAAAUGCAUAUAGUUAGAGAAAUUUCUGCCAAAAAAUUUCAUUUCCCUUUUCCUGAUUUAGUGCUUCACAGCAACCUACAAAGAAGUCCAGUGAGCAAGAGGGAAAACAGUGCUCAGAAGAGGGAGUGUUUAAAUAUGCUUUUUUUCCCAUGUUUUAAUGAAACACCUGCAAAUCAAAAUCAUGUUGCUUGAUCAUAAUGUCUUGUACAUCAUCCUGUAUAAUUGCUCCCAUUGUACUCCUGCAGCACAGACUACGUGUCAAUUACUGCUUCCAGAUUUGGAGAUGUAUACGCUUGUUACACCAUUACUGAAAGGCAUGAAAAUAAAAGUGUUUUCAUUUAGAUUAUUAACAUUAUGUAAAUGGCAACGUAACUAGUCUUGAUUUGCUGCCACUAACUUGGAAAUAUUUAAACAUUAUUAUUACUUAGCUCAACGUUCCAGUUUUAUCACUGAAAUUAAUGCAUUUAGGCUCAAUUUAGGCUUGUCAACAAAUAAUGAUCAUAGAUGUGAGCUGGUUCAUAAUCCAGAGGUACUAGGUUACAAUGUGUUGCCAUGGAAACUGUGUUUUAUUGCAUUUUCUCUACUUGAUUUAAGACAUUUGACAAUCAUAGCAACUGCUUGCCUGUCUUCCCAUGUCAUAAAAAAUUCAAAAACACAAACAACCAAUAGGGGAAAUUCAUACAGUUCGUGGCCCUCGCUACAAAAAUAAUAAAAAAAAGAAAUGACAACCUUAUAUUUAAUAGGGCCUUUUUGUGAAUAGUUUAUCUCACAGAAUGUCUAGGAGUGUUGGAAAAUUCAAUCAGUGGUUAGUCAUCGAAUGGACCUGUCUUGCCUGUGGUUCAUUUUGUUUAUUGCAUCAUAUAUCUUUUAUGAUCACUGGGACUUUAGCCUGAAACAGCAUUUUCUUUAACAACAGCCAUGUUUCCUCUAAUGUUGUUUAUUGCAUCUGAAACAUUGCUCUUUGAAACCACGGUACAUUUUCAGUUGAGCAAAGGUCUGUAACAGAAUACAGCAUGUCUGUGUUUACUCAGGAUCCUGGGUAAAAAAAAUCCCAGUUCAUGUAACAUUAAUCACUUUGCCAGUGUUCAGCUGAGGUCAUUGCCACAUUCCUAGCAGUAUUAAGCCGAGUCAAGAUUAAUCACGUACAUUAAACCCUGCAAGGAAAGCACGUGAAGCGGAUCUGAAAUUAGACAUUUGGUGAAGGACUGGGAGAGAGCUGUAACAAAAUAUGUUAGCAGUGCUGCAGCAAGCUUUCAGAACGAUGAGGGGUUUUUCCUCCUGUACUGCUGUCAGCUCAUCUAUAUUUAAGGCUUUGUUGCUGUCUCCUUUAUUUAACUCAUUUUUUAGAAGUUUUAGAUAAAGCUACUAAAAUUCUCUCUGGAUUGCAGGAGUGAUUCACCCCCCUCCCCCCCCCCCAUCCCCCCAUUACUUAUUUAUAUAUUUAAAAAAUGCAUUAGUGUAUUUUUAUUUAACUCAAAUUAGGCCUUUGGGAAGAAAGAAG